rnacentral:lncRNA from 1 species
AUAUACAAACAGGUUUGACGGUUGGAUCGUUAUAAUUUGUUUCAUAGAAUUCGUAUCCCAUCAAAACGAUAGAUUCACUAACACUUACAUUUUAUUUAUACUUUCAUUAAGUAUAAAAUACGAUUUUGUGGUAUCCACUUGUGUAAAUAAUUUAAAUUGACGAUCAAAUUCAUCCAUUGUAUUUGUAUAGGGUCAAGGAGUGCAGUUAUAAAAAAUCAUCAAAAUCGGAGUUAAAACAACCAUUAAAUCGUGAUUUUUUGUUUUAUAACCAUCGAAACUUUUUGUCUCAAUUCUUGAUCUCUGAAUAUUUGUUUGUUGUGAUUUUUGGCGUAUGCGUUCUCGAAGCAUAUACAAACAAGUUUGACGGUUGGAUCGUUAAAAUUAGUUUCAUAGAAUUCAUAUCCCAUCAAAACAAUAGAUUCACCAACACUUACAGUUUAUUUAUACUUUCAUUAAGUAUAACAUAAGAUUUUGUGGUAUCCAUUCGUGUAAAUAUUUUAAAUUGACGAUCAAAUUCAUUCAUUGUAUUCGUAUAGGGUCAAGG